CGCGGAGCCGUGCCGGCUGCCUCCAUCCCGGGGCGAGCAGGUGUUUCCGCACCUAGGUGCUCAGGGGAGCCUCCCAGCGGGAAUCGGAGGCCCCCAGAGGCCCCACAGCGAGGCCCCCGUUUGUGCUGACUCUUGGGAGACGUUCCCGUCACCCCGGCAGGCGCUGGGCUUCGGUAUGUUCCCCCAGGAACCAGGCAGGCCGGCCUGGCCCUCACUGGGCGAGUCUUGUGCUGUCCUGAGACCGUGAGGGCCUGGUGUCUGGGUGGGAGCCCCAGAGCUGGGCUGCCCCAGCUCUAUGGGUCCUCACUCUUCCUCAGGCGGGUCCAGCUCUCCCGCAUCGACCUUCCCGUCUGUAAAGCAGGGCCAACAACCCGCCCCAGAGAGAGCUACAGUGAGACACGUGGGGGACAGGGGCAGGGGGUGGCCAGAGGUUAGACGUGGUGCUAAAGAGGAGCAGACACAGGUCACAGUAGGAGGUGACAUGGCUGAUGCCAGACCAUGCAGGUGGGGCCCCUUCUGGGCCUGACCUGGGAGGGUGCCCGGCUCCAGGGCAGAAGCCUCGCCUGGCACCAGGGUCUUCAGCUUGCUGUCCACAGGGAGGGUGCCUGGCCCCGGGGUCUUCAGCCUACUGUCCACAGGGACUCUUUUGCACCCUGGCCUGGCCCCACCCCAGGGCCCAUCUCCUCCCCAACCUGAGAGGAGAAGGCCUGGCUUCAAGGCCUCAUCCUGACUGUUCUGGUCACCAGCUUUGUGACCACCAUGAGUCACCUCACCUCUCUCCUCUGGAAAAUGGGAAUAUUUCUUCCUACCCUAUUCACCCCAUGGGAUGGGCCAAGGAUUAGAAAGCUAAUACAGGGUGAAAAAUGCCCCCUGCCUGCCCAGCGCUGCAGGGAGCGCCUUGGGACGCUCAGCCCACAGGUCUGCUGGGCAUGUGACCCACACAAAGGAAGGCGGACACAUCAUGGUUUGUCUGCAGUCUUGCACGGAACGCUUCCCCACGACACUGCGGUCUCUGAGACACCACUGCCCCCCCAGCACUGUCCCUCAGGCUUGGUUCUUCCUGGAGUAGAAAGAUGAGGGGUCAACGCACUGAGGCGCUGAGCUCCUAGGUUGGAGUCACACUGGGUUAGGGUUAACCCUAACUCUCCCUGUAUGCACCAAGCUGAGCGCUGCGUGACCCCAGAGCUCGGUUUUGGCCUUCCAGGGUCACAGCCUCGGAGGCCAUGGGUAGCCAGACAGCCCGCCACAGCUCUGGGGCCCCAAGCCCACAGCAGGGCCCUGCUUGGCUGCAUGGGUUGGGGACAGCGUGGCCUGGCGUCAGUCCCAGCUGUGGGGUGUCAACCCUCGGGCCAGCCCAUCUGCCCUGGACCUGCCGGCCUGGGCCAAAAAUGGAAUCGGACAGUCCUUUUGGGAAGCAGCCCCAGAGGAGAGAAGCCAGGUCAAGGCCAGCCUCUGGGGUGCAGUAAACAGGAAAAUCCAGGGGGCUGGAGGCCCAGCGGGAAGGGAAAGGGCUGGGUCAUAGGGCUUCACAGAAUGUUUGAAAUGGGCAGGAAGUGAUGACUUCUUGGUGUCUACACCCCCAUCCCCGUCUCCAACUGCCGAGUCAGCUCGGAGGUCCACCAGGGCCCCUCAUGGGAAUUUCAGGGAGCCCACAGCGUGGGCCGAGAUUGGUGCCAGCUCAACACCCCAGAUGAAGCCCAGGCCCCCAUCUCGGCCCCCAGGGAUGUGCCGGGGAGCUGCCGGUUCCCGGGCAGCCUGGCCCCAGGGGGCGGCUCAGCACGGAGUCCCGUCUCUGUGCCAGGCAGGGUCCCAGAUUUAUUCUGACGUCUGUGUGUAGCAACAAGCAUAAUGUGUUCAUAUUUUUGACCCAGUGAUUCUGCUUCUGGGAAUUCAACCUGAAGAAAUAAUGCGAAACCCAGAAAACCAGCCGCCCGGAGACUCCUCUGGCUGUGUUAUUUAUAAGGGAUAGAACCCGGAAGCAGCCCAGAUGUGCGUGGAGGCCGGCUGAGAAACCGUCCGCGUCUGUCUAAUUGAAUGAUGUGCAGUUGUUAGAAGUCAGGCCUGUGGAAAGUUCCAACAUCGUGGGAAACGGUUCCUAUGCGAUGGGAGGAGGAGGCGGCGGCAGACGGCGUCUCUGGGCCGCGGGGACGAAGCCUCGAGCACCCAGCGUUCCGGGGGCCCCGGCAUCCGCCCUGGUUCCAGGUGGUAGGAAACCGUGGUUUGGGCUCUUGCCAUGCUCUGCUCUGCUUUGUGGCCCGUGCAGGGGGCGGGGGGGACCUUCUCACAAAACCCUGGACUUGGAGACCCACCCCCCACCCCGGGGCCCCCAGGGGCUGGGACUGCAGGCUCUGUCUCCAGCUCAGCAGCUGCAGGGUGGGAGGCUCUCUGGGGGCUAGUGUGUGCGCCCCUGGUGUGGCCUGGGGUGAAGCCUGUUCUCACAGCCGAGACCUGGCUCUGUGCACUUGGUGUGUGUGGGGGGUGGUCUCUGAGACCCAGGGGAUGCGUGGAGUGAGGGGUCUUCUCCCAGGGAGACUGGCUGGGGGCCGACACCAUCGAACCCUCUACUGGCCGCCUCUGCUCCCGCUCCUGGAGCCUGCUGGGGUCUUAAACAGAACAUGGACCGCAGUCAGGGUCCCUGCCCCAUGAAGGGCCUGGGCUCGGGGCGUGGGGAAGGCCUGGGCCCCCCAGACGUCUGGGAGAGCGUGAGCUCCAGGCCCGGGUGUUGGCAGUGCCUGGCGGGCAGGGAGCCCAGCCAGGCACAGGGCAAAGAGCGCGCAAAGGGAGGAGGCGGGUAAGUGGUCAGCUGUCCGACCGGGGAAUGGUGCCACCCCACCCAAGCCACACGGUGACCCUGGGGUGAGACGCAGGCCUCCUCGUGGGAGGGCAGGGGCAACAAGGCCCUGACCCUUGAGGGCUAGUGGGUCCCAGGGAGCAGAGGAACCCGCGGCCCACAUGCCAGGCAGCAGGCCCGGGAGAGCAGCCAGCUGCGGCCACUCUCCUCCUAACCUUCUCGUGUCCAGGUUUCUGCGGCUGGGUCUUCCUCCUGCAGGCGGCAGGCGUAGUAGCCUCAGCGGCAGGGCCUCGGGCAACCAGGGUUAGGUUGGGACUCUGGCCGGACGGCAGUAGCCCGCAUUCAUCCCAGCAGGCAACACUGUUUCUUUCUCUAAUGGGUUAUCUGACCAUCUGGUGAGGAAGGCCGUGCAAAAGUGGAGAACCUGAGUCACGUGGCGGGAGAGAGGCAAGGCAGGAUGGGAUCUGAUGACCCCGGCAGUGGCCGCAGCAUUUCUCCACGGUUCCCAGAACACCCUGGAGUCUGAUGCAGGAUUUGACCUUCCUGUUUUCCUGGGGAGAGGGUCUGAGCCUUCACCAGGCUCCCCAGGACCCCCGGGGCCACACAGAGGAGUGGGGGGAAGCCUCCCUCGGUCUGCCACCAUCAGGCUGGCACUUGGCCACACACACUCCCCACUCUUUAUGUUUAAAACCUAAUUUCAGAGUGACCCAGGAGCCCAACAGGGAGGUGAGCAGGCUGGGAAAGGCCACGCGGAUGGUGAGCGGUGCCCCCCCUGCCCACAAGGCAGCCUUCUCACUGUCAGGCGUCUCAAGGCUCACAGAGAUGCGGAUCGCUUCCAGACUGAGUGGGGGCGUUGCUCUUCUCUGCCAGGAUCUGGGACCAGGACGGGCCCAGGCUGGCUCCCUGUGGGUGCCUACUUCUCCUUCAUCCCCUCCACACCCGAGAUGAGGAGCCAGCCCAAGACCGAGCGGGGAAGCCCCGGUCUGACUUCAGACCUUCCACCCAACCCCUCCUGGCCUUUGCCCUCAGCCCUCAUGCCAAGCACCCCCCACUUCGUGCCCCUCCCUAAAAGCGCAGCCCGGGGCCUGGUCUCUGGGAGGGAUGCCAGCCCGCCUAACCUUCCCCCAGCCUCAUCGUCUCACCGGGAAAUCAGGGCAGCGCUGCCAUCCUCAGAGACUUCAAGGUGACAUGGGCGGCUGCCACGUGGCCUCCUGGGGACCUCAUGGGGACAGGCUGAGUGCUGCCCUUGGCACAAAUGAAUGAAGGAAAGAAGGAAGGAAGGGGCUGGAGUCCUGGCACGUCCUCAGGCCCAUGUGCUCAGUGAAGAAGGUGAGACAGGAAGGCAGGUGCCACAGGCUCCCGUUGCUGCGAAGAGCCUGCAGGCGGCAAAUCCUUGCAGGUACAGUGACUCCGCCUGGACGGGGCAGGCACGGGGUAUGAGUGAUGCCCGUGGGGUGGGGUCUUCUCCGGGGGCAACAAGGAGGCUCUGGGACUAAAUCGUGGUGACGCUCGCUCACUGCAGAGAAUGCAUGAAAUGCCACUGAAUGGUUCAGUUUAAAGCGACUACGUGUGUGUCGGGAACCCCCAUGUGGCUCAGACAGUAAAGAAUCUGACUGCAACGCGAAAGACCCAGGUUCGAUCCUUGGGUCAGGAAGAUGCCCUGGAGAAGGGAAUGGUUACCCACUCCAGUAUUCUUGCCUGGAGAAUCCCAUGGACAGAAGAGCUGGCGGGCUAUAGUCUAUGGGGUCACAAGGAGUUGGACAGGACUGAGUGACUAAGACACACACUUCUGUGUCAUGUGAGUUUCAGCACUACUGCAGAAGCCUGAAGCGUGGACAGGUCGGGGUGCUCCCUCCAAGUAGCUGACCCCUACUGGCACGACACCAGUCCCAGGGGCAAGGGCUGGCACUGUGCCCCCAGGUGGACAAGAUCCUUGUUUCCAGCCGUCGGCCCAGCCUUCCAGCCCCGACCCCCAGCAAUCCUAUAUAUGCAGAGCACAUCAUGAAAAACGCUGGGCUGGAUGAAGCACAAGCUG